GCUCCAUGAUUCAGCGGCGGACGGGUGAGUAAUGCCUAGGAAUCUGCCUGGUAGUGGGGGACAACGUUUCGAAAGGAACGCUAAUACCGCAUACGUCCUACGGGAGAAAGUGGGGGAUCUUCGGACCUCACGCUAUCAGAUGAGCCUAGGUCGGAUUAGCUAGUUGGUGAGGUAAAGGCUCACCAAGGCGACGAUCCGUAACUGGUCUGAGAGGAUGAUCAGUCACACUGGAACUGAGACACGGUCCAGACUCCUACGGGAGGCAGCAGUGGGGAAUAUUGGACAAUGGGCGAAAGCCUGAUCCAGCCAUGCCGCGUGUGUGAAGAAGGUCUUCGGAUUGUAAAGCACUUUAAGUUGGGAGGAAGGGCAGUAAGUUAAUACCUUGCUGUUUUGACGUUACCAACAGAAUAAGCACCGGCUAACUUCGUGCCAGCAGCCGCGGUAAUACGAAGGGUGCAAGCGUUAAUCGGAAUUACUGGGCGUAAAGCGCGCGUAGGUGGUUCGUUAAGUUGGAUGUGAAAGCCCCGGGCUCAACCUGGGAACUGCAUCCAAAACUGGCGAGCUAGAGUAUGGCAGAGGGUGGUGGAAUUUCCUGUGUAGCGGUGAAAUGCGUAGAUAUAGGAAGGAACACCAGUGGCGAAGGCGACCACCUGGGCUAAUACUGACACUGAGGUGCGAAAGCGUGGGGAGGCAAACAGA
rnacentral:rRNA from 1 species